AUACCUGCUAGGGGAGAUACCAUGAUCAUGAAAUGAUCAUGAAUCUGGGUUUCCCAGGGCAAGGCUCAUCUAUUACAUUGUGAAUGUACUGACCCCUAAGUAUGGGAAACUUGGCAUAGGUUGUGGUAGUUGGGGACUAUAUUUAUAAUCUCCUC
rnacentral:snRNA from 1 species